UAAAAUUUAGCCAACAAUUUAAAAACAGGCAGGUUCCAAAGUUUUCCACAGUAAUAGAAUUCACAUGUGCUUCCUCACUUAGAUUAUCCAGAGCAGAUCAGAUCACUGUGUACAGUCAUUGCCUCACGUGCCAAACAUCUCAACAAAUCCACCAACCACAAAUUGUAGCACUACUCAAGCAGGCAGAAGUACUGUCAAGGCUGCAAGGUGCCCUAGCUGCACGUGAACUGAAGAAGUCAAGGACUGUGCCAUCUAGAAAAAAGAGUGACAAACAAAUGUUACCCUUCAGAAGACUUUCCUUAAAAAGGUCAAACAAAAAGCUGGCAUACUCAGAGCUCCUGAUCAGAGUGAGGCAAAGAAGCUCAAGACAACACUGGAAACAAGAGCAGUGAUGAGCCAAAACAACACCAACAGCCACACCAACAGCCACAACAACAACAAUACCAACCAAUACAACAACAUCAGCCACAACAGACAAAACAACAAGCACAACAACCAGUUCAAAAGGUAGUCCAACAACAAGCAACAAUGGAUCUAAGCAGUUUGGAUAGUCGUUUACUGUGGCUGAAUGACGUAAUAGUAAACCACGCCCAGCAGCUUCUUAGGCAAGAGUUCCCCAACAGAGAGGGCUUCAAAACACCCUAUUGUCUCAAGGAUGUAAAUUCUCUGUCUCAAGGACAAACUCGAUCCAGACACACCAUAUUUGGAGCCGCAACCAUUGGGUAACAACAUCAAGCAACAAGACAGGAGAUGUAACCUUGUAUGACAGCCUUCGACACAGCAAUGAUCUAUCCAAUGAUUUGAAGCAGCAAAUUGCAUGCAUUUAUAAAACGGAUGAGCCACAAAUGACAGUCUCUGUAGCAAGAGUUCAACAGCAGAAGAGAGGAAGCGAUUGUGGUAUAUUUUCAGUAGCAUUUACAUUCGAUCUUGCCCAAGGUAUAGAGCCCCAGUAUGUUAAUUACAUAUAAUCAGAAAUGAGAAAACACGUGAAGAAAUGCAUUCAGCAAGGAACUAUAACAAGUUUCCCACGAAACUUCCCCUCAAAACAAGUCAUCAGAAGAUGUUCUAGUUCUGUUGUUGCAUUACCUGUAUAUUUUGUUCAUGCAGAAUGCCAGAAACAUUUGGACGUCCUAUGGUCCAGUGUGAUCAGUGUAAAGACUGGUUCCACUAUGAAUAUGUUCACUUGAAACGGCCAGGUAGACGGUUUGUUUGUUCUAGUUGCAAUUCUAUUAAUUAAGUGAGUUACGUGACAGUAAAUCUGAAGUGUACUGUACAUACUUGCAGUGUACUGUAAUUGCGCAUGUUCAAUUAGAUUGAUUGCAUAGCUGAGUGAUCUAUGUUACUUUACUAACCUUUUUUACAUGAAUGAUGGAUUAUUCAUGGU